UACGUAGGGGGCAAGCGUUGUCCGGAUUCAUUGGGCGUAAAGAGCGUGUAGGCGGCCAGGUAGGUCGGUUGUGAAAACUGGAGGCUCAACCUUCAGAGGUCGACCGAAACCAUCUGGCUAGAGUCCGGGAGAGGAGAGUGGAAUUCCCAGUGUAGCGGUGAAAUGCGUAGAUAUCGGGAGGAACACCAGUGGCGAAGGCGACUUCCUGGCCUGUUCUUGACGCUGAGGCGCGAAAGCUAGGGGAGCAAACGGGG
rnacentral:rRNA from 1 species